AGCGAACGCUGGCGGCAGGCUUAACACAUGCAAGUCGAGCGGGCCUUUCGGGGUCAGCGGCGGACGGGUGAGUAACGCGUGGGAACGUGCCCUCUGGUUCGGAAUAACUCAGGGAAACUUGAGCUAAUACCGGAUACGCCCUUUUGGGGAAAGGCUUGCUGCCGGAGGAUCGGCCCGCGUCUGAUUAGCUAGUUGGUGAGGUAACGGCUCACCAAGGCGACGAUCAGUAGCUGGUCUGAGAGGAUGAUCAGCCACACUGGGACUGAGACACGGCCCAGACUCCUACGGGAGGCAGCAGUGGGCAAUAUUGGACAAUGGGCGCAAGCCUGAUCCAGCCAUGCCGCGUGAGUGAUGAAGGCCUUAGGGUUGUAAAGCUCUUUUAUCCGGGACGAUAAUGACGGUACCGGAGGAAUAAGCCCCGGCUAACUUCGUG
rnacentral:rRNA from 1 species